GACGAACCGAGCGAACGUUAUUCGGAAUCACUGGGCUUAAAGGGCGCGUAGGCGGGCCGUCAAGUCGAGGGUGAAAUCCCCAGGCUCAACCCGGGAACUGCGUCCGAUACUGGAAGGCUUGAAUCCGGGAGAGGGUCGUGGAAUUCCCGGUGUAGCGGUGAAAUGCGCAGAUAUCAGGAGGAACACCGAUGGCGAAGGCAGGUCUCUGGGCCAUAACUGACGCUGAGAAGCGAAAGCAUGGGGAGCGAACAGG
rnacentral:rRNA from 1 species